rnacentral:rRNA from 1 species
UGGGGAAUAUUGCACAAUGGGCGCAAGCCUGAUGCAGCCAUGCCGCGUGUGUGAAGAAGGCCUUCGGGUUGUAAAGCACUUUCAGCGAGGAGGAAGGUGGUGAGCUUAAUACGCUCAUCAAUUGACGUUACUCGCAGAAGAAGCACCGGCUAACUCCGUGCCAGCAGCCGCGGUAAUACGGAGGGUGCAAGCGUUAAUCGGAAUUACUGGGCGUAAAGCGCACGCAGGCGGUUUGUUAAGUCAGAUGUGAAAUCCCCGGGCUCAACCUGGGAACUGCAUUUGAAACUGGCAAGCUAGAGUCUCGUAGAGGGGGGUAGAAUUCCAGGUGUAGCGGUGAAAUGCGUAGAGAUCUGGAGGAAUACCGGUGGCGAAGGCGGCCCCCUGGACGAAGACUGACGCUCAGGUGCGAAAGCGUGGGGCAGCAAACAGGAUUAGAUACCCUGGUAGUCCACGCUGUAAACGAUGUCGAUUUUGGAGGUUGUGCCCUUGAGGCGUGGCUUCCGGAGCUAGCGCGUUAAAUCGACCGCCUGGGGAGUACGGCCGCAAGGUUAAAACUCAAAUGAAUUG